AUGCUUUUGUAGUUCAUAAAUGUAGUGAUUGGCUUUUCAUGCUCAUGUGUGAGAUAUGCCUUUAUCAAACUUUGUUCCCAUGUUGGCACAUUACCUGUCUGAUG
ensembl:snoRNA